AGCCCCGGCCGGUCUUACUCGGCAUCUUUGGAUUUGCAAUCCAAUGUGUAAUACACCACAAAGC
rnacentral:tRNA from 1 species